rnacentral:lncRNA from 1 species
UAAAGAUCAAAGUAAAAAAUGUGUGUGUUUCAACGAAACACAACAACAAUAUUUUGGUUAAAUAUAUAGAAAUUGGACAAAACACUAGUUUAUGAUGACCUUGGCUAAGGGAGAUAACUCAAUAAACCAAUACUGAAUAGUUAGUGUUUAAACAAUACUUUUUAAGCAUUCGUGUGAAACAGAAUGAAAAUAGUAUAUAUAUGCUACAUUAAAGCUUACAAUAUAUUUAUGAAACUGAGACACAUUAGAAAUACUAGUGAAUUUUAAGAGAUUUGUCCCUUUACAUUAGCAGUAACCUUCUUCAAAGCACCUGUAUUAUAUUUGAAUUCUAUCGAUUAUUAUUAAUUUUUCAUAUCCCCAAAUUUAACUUAAUUAGAUUUUGUGUAGCAUUUUGAAUAAUUUCUUUUUUUCCCUCUGUUCAAUUUUGUAACAAGCAGAAGUUACCUUUCAAAUAUAUAUACACAAGAGAUUUUGAAAAUUUUCAAGAACUGUGAUGCCAUUGUCAACUCAAGCAAAAAUAUAUAGAUGUACAUGUAUGGACAUUUGGACACAUGAAACAAUCUUUCCUAACUUACGUGUUAAGAAUUUCAUUUUUGUUUGCUUAAAAAAGUGGUAAUUCAUAGAAUAAUGAGCAUUAUCAGUGUUCCCUUACAUGUUCUCUUUAUCCAUCUUCUAUUGAUGGUUUUAUACAAAAAUCAAAAUUGUUAUAAAAUUGAAUCUAGUCAAAAGCUC